rnacentral:rRNA from 1 species
ACGGCUCAGUAACACGUAGUCAACCUACCUUAAAGACACGGGCAAUCCCGGGAAACUGGGGCUAAUCCGUGACAGGUUUAGAGUUCUGGAAUGGCUCUAAGCUCAAAGGGUCGGGCGAGCAUGCUCGUCCAGUCGCUUUAAGACGGGACUGCGGCCGAUCAGGUUGUUGGUGGGGUAGUGGCCCACCAAGCCAGUAACCGGUGCGGGCUCUGAGAGGAGGGGCCCGGAGAUGGACACUGAGACAAGGGUCCAGGCCCUACGGGGCGCAGCAGGCGCGAAACCUUUACACUGCACGAAAGUGCGAUAAGGCUAUACCGAGUGCCAUCCGCUGAGGGUGGCUUUUCCUAGGUCUAAAUAGCCUGGGGAAUAAGGGGAGGGCAAGCCUGGUGUCAGCCGCCGCGGUAAUACCAGCUCCCCGAGUGGUCAGGACGAUUAUUGGGCUUAAAGCAUCCGUAGCCGGCUUUGUAGGUCCCUUGUUAAAUCCAACGGCUCAACCGUUGGAAUGCAGGGGAUACCGCGGAGCUAGGGGGCGGGAGAGGCGGACGGUACUCCAUAGGUAGGGGUAAAAUCCUUUGAUCUAUGGAAGACCACCAGUGGCGAAGGCGGUCCGCUAGAACGCGCCCGACGGUGAGGGAUGAAAGCUGGGGGAGCGAACCGGAUUAGAUACCCGGGUAGUCCCAGCUGUAAACGAUGCAGGCUAGGUGAUAGAGAGGCUACGCGCCUCCCUAGUGCCGCAGGGAAACCGAUAAGCCUGCCGCCUGGGGAGUACGAUCGCAAGGUUGAAACUUAAAGGAAUUGGCGGGGGAGCAC